rnacentral:pre_miRNA from 1 species
AGAAUGAUAGUGAAUUGCUAAAUAUUUUCUUUGUAUAAAUGACUUUUAACAUUUGUACAAUAUUAAUAUUUAAACAUUUCUCGAAUCAAAGUAUGCCACAUCA